AGUAGUGGAGUCCCCUAACUGGGUCUGUUGUAACAAGCUCAUCAAUUGGUCAUACUGUUGUCUGCUCAACCCUGGUAUCACAGAACUCUGACCAUCUAUGUUUGUAACAGAGUGAUGGCUUUCAGGAGGAUUCCCUUGGGGAACAGACACAUGUCCAUCAGAAGAAGGGGAUUCCACACCAGCAAUUAGAUGAGCAGCAGCAGGUCUCCUACCCUUGUUAAAUGUUGUACUUUGUGAAUACCCAUGAAUCUUG
rnacentral:lncRNA from 1 species